rnacentral:siRNA from 1 species
GUAGCUUUGGAUGUUUGGGUUAUA